GACGAACGCUGGCGGCGUGCUUAACACAUGCAAGUCGAACGGAAAGGCCCUGCUUUUGUGGGGUGCUCGAGUGGCGAACGGGUGAGUAACACGUGAGUAACCUGCCCUUGACUUUGGGAUAACUUCAGGAAACUGGGGCUAAUACCGGAUAGGAGCUCCUGCUGCAUGGUGGGGGUUGGAAAGUUUCGGCGGUUGGGGAUGGACUCGCGGCUUAUCAGCUUGUUGGUGGGGUAGUGGCUUACCAAGGCUUUGACGGGUAGCCGGCCUGAGAGGGUGACCGGCCACAUUGGGACUGAGAUACGGCCCAGACUACUACGGGAGGCAGCAGUGGGGAAUAUUGCACAAUGGGCGGAAGCCUGAUGCAGCAACGCCGCGUGCGGGAUGACGGCCUUCGGGUUGUAUACCGCUUUCGCCUGUGACGAAGCGUGAGUGACGGUAAUGGGUAAAGAAGCACCGGCUAACUACGUG
rnacentral:rRNA from 1 species